GCACGACACCGGAGAGGGAGCCUGAGAAACGGCUACCACAUCCAAGGAUGGCAGCAGGCGCGCAAAUUACCCAAUCCCGACACGGGGAGGUAGUGACAAUAAAUAACAAUACGGGGUUCUUUCGGAUCUCGUAAUUGGAAUGAGUACAAUUUAAAUCUCUUAACGAGGAACAAUUGGAGGGCAAGUCUGGUGCCAGCAGCCGCGGUAAUUCCAGCUCCAAUAGCGUAUAUUAAAGUUGUUGCAGUUAAAAAGCUCGUAGUUGAAUUUCGGGGUUAGUAGGUUGGUCAUGCCUCUGGUAUGUACUGAUCUCACUGAUUCCUCCUUCCUGAUGAACCGUAAUGCCAUUAAUUUGGUGUUGCGGGGAAUUUGGACUGUUACUUUGAAAAGAUUAGAGUGUUUAAAGCAAGCUAACGCUUGAAUACAUUAGCAUGGAAUAAUGAAAUAGGACGUUCGAUCCUAUUUUGUUGGUUUCUAGGAUUGACGUAAUGAUUAAUAGGGAUAGUUGGGGGCAUUAGUAUUCAAUUGUCAGAGGUGAAAUUCUUGGAUUUAUUGAAGACUAACUACUGCGAAAGCAUUUGCCAAGGAUGUUUUCAUUAAUCAAGAACGAAAGUUAGGGGAUCGAAGACGAUCAGAUACCGUCGUAGUCUUAACCAUAAACUAUGCCGACUAGGGAUCGGAUGAUGUUAAUUUUUUAAUGACUCAUUCGGCGCCUUACGGGAAACCA
rnacentral:rRNA from 1 species